GGUCAGGAUGAACGCUGGCGGCGUGCCUAACACAUGCAAGUCGAACGGAAACUAAGCGCUUCGGAGACUUCGGUCAAUGUUGCUUGGUUUAGUGGCGGACGGGUGAGUAACGCGUGGAUAACCUGCCUCAUACAGGGGGAUAACAGUUAGAAAUGACUGCUAAUACCGCAUAAGCGCACGGAAUCGCAUGUUUCUGUGUGAAAAGCUCCGACGGUAUGAGAUGGAUCCGCGUCUGAUUAGCUAGUUGGCGGGGUAACAGCCCACCAAGGCGACGAUCAGUAGCCGGCCUGAGAGGGUGAACGGCCACAUUGGGACUGAGACACGGCCCAAACUCCUACGGGAGGCAGCAGUGGGGGAUAUUGCACAAUGGGGGAAACCCUGAUGCAGCGAACCGCCGCGUGAGUGAAGAAGUAUUUCGGUAUGUAAAGCUCUAUCAGCAGGGAAGAUAAUGACGGUACCUGACUAAGAAGCACCGGCUAAAUACGUGCCAGCAGCUGC
rnacentral:rRNA from 1 species